rnacentral:rRNA from 1 species
GAGCUCUCAAUCUGUCAAUCCUUCCAGUGUCCGGGCCUGGUGAGAUUUCCCGUGUUGAGUCAAAUUAAGCCGCAGGCUCCACUCCUGGUGGUGCCCUUCCGUCAAUUCCUUUAAGUUUCAGCUUUGCAACCAUACUUCCCCCGGAACCCAAACGCUUUGGUUUCCCGAAAGCUUCCCGCAGAGCCUACAAAUGCAACUCAGCGGAUCGCUAGCUGGCAUCGUUUAUGGUUAGAACUAGGGCGGUAUCUGAUCGCCUUCGAACCUCUAACUUUCGUUCUUGAUUGAUGAAACCACUCUUGGCAAAUGCUUUCGCAGUAGUUAGUCUCCAGACGGUCCAAGAAUUUCACCUCUGUCGUCCGAAUACUAAUGCCCCCAGUUGUCCCUAUUAAUCAUUAAGUCAAUUCCCAAAAACCAACAAAAUAGGAACGACCUCCUAUUCCAUUAUUCCAUGCACGAAUAUUCAAGCUUCUAGCCUGCUUUGAGCACUCUAAUUUUUUCAAAGUAAACCUGACGGCGACUAGAGACACUCAAUGAAGAGGACCUUCAACCCUCCGUCAAAAACACGGAUAAAUGGGGCAGUAGCGUCAAAUAACGAACCGCCCCCUACCUGCCGAGAUCCAACUACGAGCUUUUUAACCGCAACAACUUUAAUAUACGCUAUUGGAGCUGGAAU